rnacentral:rRNA from 1 species
AGAGUUUGAUCCUGGCUCAGGAUGAACGUUGGCGGUGUGCCUAAUACAUGCAAGUCGAACGGAGUUAAUAGCAAUAUUGGCUCAGUGGCGAACGGGUGAGUAACGCGUUGGUGAUCUGCCUUGAAGUGUGGAAUAACGUUUCGAAAGGAACGCUAAUACCGCAUGUGCUCUCGAUUUUCAGAAAGUUGAGAGUAAAGGAUUUAUUCGCUUCAAGAGGAGCCUGCGUCCCAUCAGCUGGUUGGUAGGGUAACGGCCUACCAAGGCUAUGACGGGUAGGGGACCUGAGAGGGUGGCCCCCCACAAUGGAACUGAAACACGGUCCAUACACCUACGGGUGGCAGCAGUAGGGAAUAUUAGAAAUGGACGAAAGUCUGAUCUAGCAACACCGCGUGUGCGAAGAAGGCUUUCGGGUCGUAAAGCACUUUUUGGAAGGAAUAGGAAGGAAUGUACUUCCAGAAUAAGUCUCGGCUAACUACGUGCCAGCAGCCGCGGUAAA